CCCACAGCAAACACGGACCAAAUAGAAAGAGGGAGAGGCCAGGAGUCCGUGUGCUACUCUGCUGGGACCCCACCGUGCCCCUUCCCUUUCUUCUUGGAGCCCCUCCCGGCUAGUUUUAAUGAGGUGCUGCCUGACGGCAGACUCACUGAGAGGCACUAACAGGCUCACUCUUCUAUUAUUGUGGCUGCCAGCACUCCAGGACCAACUGGGUUUACAAAAAUAAAGUUGUAUCAUCUGCUGCAUGUACCGCAUCCCCUAAAACAGGUUAUUAAGGGGAAGUGGGGAAUAUCGGAAACAGAUGGAGGAGUCUUUGAUUUGCAUAAGGUGCCAUUUGCAUGGCUCAGAAGCCUCUAUGGAGGGAAUAAUGUAUAGAAAUACACAUACGUAAGCCCUCGGUUGGGAAACAGAGGCACACUGAUCAACCACAAAAAUAGAUGUGAGAGAGACCAGCUAGGAGGGAGAGGGCGAGGGAGGCAGGCGGGGAGAGGAUAACAAGCAAAACCAGUGCCCAGCACAGAACUCCCGGCGCAGCUGUGGGGCCGCCCUCCCUCCAGCUCCUUUUCCAGCGUUGUGGUUUCAGAGCUGAUGGAUUUUAUACAUGCAAUGGCAGGAUGGUAUUUCCGAAAGAUCUGGCUUUUCUUCUCUCUCCCAGAAGGGCAAUUGGUUAAAAAAAAAAAAAAAAAAAGACAAGAAAAAGAAGAGCCUAGUUACCAGCAAGCUGGCUGGAUGAUUCUGGCAGACGGAAGUUUGUGUGCGUUCUUGGGGUCCCCUGGUGCAGAGAGCUAGUCCUUCACACAGAAAGAGACAAGAGUGAGGAAUGCAGAGAGUGGUGAUCCUGCCAGGAGAGAUGAGAUGAGAGGGUGGGCUCAGGAUGGUGAUACCUGAUCUUGGGAUUGGCCGAUGGUGGUGGCAGGGGGAGUCCUGAGGGUCUGCCACCUGUGAGAUGCUUCUGUGUCCCAGGUCCUUGCAGCCCUCAGCCUCGCUGACUGAUGCUAAGAGCAGGAGGGGCUGGGCUGGUAUCACUUGGUGGUUUUGUCCCAACCUUUCUCACGUGCCUGGUUCGCUCACCAACACAGUGCCUGUUGAUGAGGGAGUAGGACCCCACCUAACCCCCUGGGGCUUAAUACCAUGACAAAAUGUAUGGAUGACUGUAGGAGUCACCUCUGCUUUGGGAGGGAAGGCACUUGGCUCAGUGGCAUAGCCGUCUUCCUCAUGAGCCGUGUGAGUGCUGUCCACUGGCCUGCUGACUAAGGCAGCUGGUUGGUCACUGUGGGGCUAUGCUCCCCUUGUGGAAUGGAGCUGUUGCUGGAAGGAGACCACCCAGGGCUCCACUCCCCAGGCCUCACAUUCCUGGGAGUCAUGCGACUAGCUUUCCCUCAUGGACUGUGAGUAGAAGUGAUGCCUGUCACUUCCCGGUGAGGGGGUGAGUACUGGGGGGCAACAUUCUUUCCUGGCUCUUGUCUCUGGGUUGUGGCUGAGAGAAGGGUGACUGUGGGGCCCUGGGCCCUGCAUGGGAGCUGAGGCUGACUGUGAGGGGUGUUGUGAUGUGAAGCCCCAUGUACGGCAGUAGGCCUGUCCUGGUGAAUCCAGCUGCCUUCCCUAUGCUUUCCUACCAGGCUGGGUGUUAGUGGUUUCCAUACUGGGUGGGUGACAUCCACAGCAUCUUGCCAGUUGUUAUCUCAAGAGAUUGGUCAAAAUUCUAAAUAAAAAUGAGUUUCCAUGCCUUUUGAUUUGAAAUUUAUACACAGGACAUAUACUCAGACAAGAAAAGAGAUUUCCAUUACAAAACUCCAAGCUUAGAAAAAUAGAUGAUAAUGAGUGGUAUUACGAUAUACUUCCCAAGGAAUUCCAGUCAAGUGCCUUUAAGACGCUGAGAUCCCGGCAAGUGUGAGAACUUCAAUUUGAUUUACAUGUACUUGAUUAGGGGGUGCUUCAGAGAUGCAGAGAGUCCUCCCCCACUGGAGAUGGAAUGGGGGUAAGAGAAAGCUCUGUGGGGAGAAAUGAAACUGAAAUUGCCAGGGCACAGCCCCUAUGGAAAGAAC
ensembl:lncRNA